rnacentral:rRNA from 1 species
CAGCCGCCGCGGUAAUACGUAGGGUGCAAGCGUUAAUCGGAAUUACUGGGCGUAAAGCGUGCGCAGGCGGUUAUAUAAGACAGAUGUGAAAUCCCCGGGCUCAACCUGGGAACUGCAUUUGUGACUGUAUAGCUAGAGUACGGCAGAGGGGGAUGGAAUUACGCGUGUAGCAGUGAAAUGCGUAGAUAUGCGGAGGAACACCGAUGGCGAAGGCAAUCCCCUGGGCCUGUACUGACGCUCAUGCACGAAAGCGUGGGGAGCAAACAGGAUUAGAUACCCCUGUAGUCCCUGUCUCUUAUAC